rnacentral:rRNA from 1 species
UAACGUAGGGUGCAAGCGUUGUCCGGAAUUAUUGGGCGUAAAGAGCUCGUAGGCGGUCUGUUGCGUCGGCUGUGAAAACCCGGGGCUCAACCCCGGGCCUGCAGCCGAUACGGGCAGACUAGAGUUCGGCAGGGGAGACUGGGAAUUCCGUGGUGUAGGCGGUGAAAUGCGCAGAUAUCAGGAGGAACACCGGUGGCGAAGGCGGGUCUCUGGGCCGAUACUGACGUGGAGGAGCGAAAGCGUGGGGAGCAAACAGG